CAGCAGUCUCCUCUCACAUUGCUUGCUUUCUUUUGUAUCCUGUUCCUUAUUCCCACUGGAUUUAGGGGAGGAGAGAAAGCAUCAGGAUGCCAGGACAGCAACACCGGAACAGAACAGAGAGAUGCUGGAUGACGCUUCUCUUAGCCAACAGCCUGUCCCGUGAUUUCCACGCGAUUCCCUCUAGACCUGGAUCUUCAGCCUCCUGCCCUCAACCUAACCAGAAGCUGAUGACAGCCACAUCAAGAGGAGUUCUGAAAGUGGCAUCUGGAUGGAAAGGGAGCCUCUUGGGCACUCCAGCGGCUAGCGAGACCCUCCUGCCUUCUGAUUGUUCAGGUGUCUAAUGAAACUUUCAAGUCACUGUGCUAGGUGCUGUGCAGGAGACAGAGGCGCCCGAGGAAUGGGCCAGAUCUCAUGGACCUUUCAGUGACAGUUAAGAUGGGAAGUAGGAUGCAUGACUCAAUCACCCAAGGAAGAAACCCACAAGGAAGGUAAAAAUAAGUCUGUGGAAUCUGAGGUGAGGGAGAAGAUGGAUCUGCUGAAGGACUCAGGGUGGUACUUGGGCCCCGUCUUGAAGAAGUUGGAUAUGAGGGAAUAGAGGAAAAUAUGGUGGUAAGAAAGCACAUUCAGGGAAGGAAAUAUGAAGCAGAAUAUCAGGUGCUAACACCGGAAUGGCUCAGAUCAAAUUAUAACAGAUCUUGAAUGCCAGCCAAGAAGCUUGCACUCUAACUGGUAAGUAGGAAGCUCCAUGAAGGAAGAACUUAUACAAAUUUCCAAUUUGUUGAACACGUAUUGAACUCUUUUUCAAAAGUGAAUUCUCCAUCCCUGCAGGUUUAAGCACCAAUUGGAUGUGCUUUUAGCCAGCUGUCUACUUAGGGUUUAUAGAGAUUCAUCAAGGGGAUUCAUGCAUGGACUGAGUCACUGCUGUGGUUACCUCUGAUUAACGUUACACAAUCAGGAUUUUGGAACCAGAAAUUGACACCAGUAUCAUAGGAGGGAAGACUGUAUUUCUUUUUGUAUUUUGUAGGUGCUAAAUUAAUGCUUUUGCAAUUAACAAAUGACAUGAACAGAGUCGUGCUUCAGAAAAAGGAAUUCUGCAGGAAGGUUUAAACUGAUUAGUCAGAAGGGAGAUACUGGGUAUAGCAAGACUGGUUAGGACACUAUUAAUCAUUUUCAAGGCCUAAACUAUGUUAAGUCUGAAUGGGAAAGAAAAGUAGAUAGACCUUAUGGAUGUAGAAUCAAGAUUACCAUUUUGUUGUAAUUAUUUAUGACUCUCUUCCUCAAUGGACUGAAAAUUUCAUGGGAGCAAGAAGUGUAUCUUAUUUGACUUUCUGUCCCCUCUGCCUAAAAAUGAUUAGCACAUAUAAUUGCUCAUCGGGUAUUGAAUGAGUUUGUAGAAUCAACGUUGACUGGCUUUAGGAGUAAAUAGUUGAGGUGAUAUUAUUUGAAGGCCACUGGAUAUCCAAGCUACUGGAUCUGAGCCCAGGUCUUGGCUGGUCCUGGUCCUGGGGCAGAGGAGACAUAGAAGACAGCACCUGUCUCUACUUCCUCACUUCCAUCCUUCAUCCCACAACCUCACUGGAAGUUUUCUGGUUGAGAUCAUUCCACACUUGCCCUGUCUUUCGUCUAUGACUUUACAACUUCUUAUCAGCAUUUGACACAGUUGACCGUUUCAAUCUUGGAAAAUUACCCUCACUUAACAUUCAAGACAUUGGUAGGUUUUCUUCCCACCAUAUUGAUGGCCCUUUCACUCUAGUCAUUCUGGCUUAGCCUCCUAUUCCCAAUCUUUAAAUCAGUGGUUCUCAACCUUAGCUGUACAUUAGAAUCACCAUAUAUAUUUUAUUUUUUCUUUUCUCUUUUUUAAUAUUUUUUGUCUUUUUUAAAAUGAUUUUUUAUUUUUUCCAUUAUAGUUGGUUUACAGUGUUCUGUCACUUUUCUACAGUACAGCAUAGUGACCCAGUUACACACACACACACAUAUAUAUACACAUUCUUUUUUCUCACAUUAUCCUCCAUCAUGCUCCAUUGUAAGUGACUAGAUGUGGUUUCUAGUGCUAUACAACAGGAUCUCAUUGCCUAUCCAUUCCAAAGGCAAUAGUUUGCAUCUGUUAACCCAAGAUUUCUAGUCCACCCCACUCCCUCCCCCUCCCCCUUG
rnacentral:lncRNA from 1 species